CAGGUCCUAUACCCUAGGUUCAGAGUUAUUUGAAACAGGUCCUAUACCCUAGGUUCAGUUAUUUGAAACAGGUCCUAUACCCUAGGUUCAGUUAUUUGAAACAGGUCCUAUGCCCUAGGUUCAGUUAUUUGGAACAGGUCCUAUACCCUAGGUUCAGAGUUAUUUGGAACAGGUCCUAUACCCUAGGUUCAGUUAUUUGGAACAGGUCCUAUACCCUAGGUUCAGUUAUUUGGAACAGGUCCUAUACCCUAGGUUCAGUUAUUUGGAACAGGUCCUAUACCCUAGGUUCAGUUAUUUGAAACAGGUCCUAUACCCUAGGUUCAGUUAUUUGAAACAGGUCCUAUACCCUAGGUUCAGUUAUUUGAAACAGGUCCUAUACCCUAGGUUCAGA